rnacentral:rRNA from 1 species
UGGGGAAUAUUGGACAAUGGGCGAAAGCCUGAUCCAGCCAUGCCGCGUGUGUGAAGAAGGUCUUCGGAUUGUAAAGCACUUUAAGUUGGGAGGAAGGGCAGUAAGCGAAUACCUUGCUGUUUUGACGUUACCGACAGAAUAAGCACCGGCUAACUCUGUGCCAGCAGCCGCGGUAAUACAGAGGGUGCAAGCGUUAAUCGGAAUUACUGGGCGUAAAGCGCGCGUAGGUGGUUCGUUAAGUUGAAUGUGAAAGCCCCGGGCUCAACCUGGGAACUGCAGCCAAACCUGGCGAGCUAGAGUAGGGCAGAGGGUGGUGGAAUUUCCUGUGUAGCGGUGAAAUGCGUAGAUAUAGGAAGGAACACCAGUGGGGAAGGCGACCACCUGGGCUCAUACUGACACUGAGGUGCGAAAGCGUGGGGAGCAAACAGG